CGGGGCGUAGCUCAGCCUGGCUAGAGCGCUGGCUUUGGGGGCCAGAAGUCGCCGGUUCGAAUCCGGCCGCCCCGA
rnacentral:tRNA from 1 species